CCAGUGUGAUAGGAGGCCAUUCAGACAACAGCUAAAGUCCAACCAGGGCCCAUGACUGAUCCAUGUAUCUGCAGAUUGCUCAGGCCUGGCGAAUGUAUAGAGGGAACAUAUCAAAGUAGCAUCUGGGAUGAGGGACUGCAGUUACUUGAAGAGAUUGGAGGAGCUGGGGAUGUGCUUUUUGCAGCAGUGACAUGUGUCUGCCACCAGAAUGAUUUCCAAUUGUUCCCUAAUGUUGAUGCAUUGAACUGAAAAUUGCCAGCCUUGUUUGUCCUGCUGUAUUUGUAUAAUGCCUGGAGGUCACUAUGCGACUGCCAUUUGUGUUGAAAGACAUGGCGAGAACAACAUCUUUGUGGCAGUCCAAGAUUUUCACUGGAUUAUGAAUCACUUGCUCUCCCGAAUUCAGGUUCCAAAUCAUAACCUGCAACAACAGAGAUAAGAAAUGUAUUUAACAACCAUCACACUUUCUAUUGAAUGUCCUUCUAUUGAGUGUUAACAAGAGAGUUCAAAUACAUUAGUAGUAUAUUUGCAGGAAAGAAAAAUGGUCAUUCAUGCACAUGGCUACACUAGUUCCUUGAUCUUGAGAACGCACUGGCAGAGUCAGACCGGGAAACUAUAUGGGUACUGUUUUCAUCACACAAAUUCUCCCUCUUACAGUCCAAUCCAGAAAACAUAGUACACAUUCCCUGAAACAAGGGAGAGACAGAGACAGACAGAUUAAUAAGUACAAGGAAUAACCGAGUUAAGUUUGAAAUGUCUAAAUUAUCAAGAGUCUGGCUCCCAGACAACAAAAAAAAUAAAAACAGAACAUAAAAUAUGUGUGU